CAGUCGCCACGGUAAUACGUAGGGUGCAAGCGUUAAUCGGAAUUACUGGGCGUAAAGCGUGCGCAGGCGGUUAUAUAAGACAGAUGUGAAAUCCCCGGGCUCAACCUGGGAACUACAUUUGUGACUGUAUAGCUAGAGUACGGCAGAGGGGGAUGGAAUUCCGCGUGUAGCAGUGAAAUGCGUAGAUAUGCGGAGGAACACCGAUGGCGAAGGCAAUCCCCUGGGCCUGUACUGACGCUCAUGCACGAAAGCGUGGGGAGCAAACAGGAUUAGAUACCCCAGUAGUCCCUGUCUCUUAUAC
rnacentral:rRNA from 1 species